GUAAGGCUGCCCACGCUAGGUCUGCCCGUGAGCCUCCUGACGCCGCCGUGCAGCCCGAGGCCUCAGCCUUAGCCUUACCUGGUUCUCACCUGUGAUCCAAUAGAACUAAUCGGGGACAGCUGUGAACUGUUCGGCGCUUAGAACACAGAAUCACACUCAAAACUUAAAAGCUUCUUUUUAACAGCAGUUUUAAUCAUAGUUUUCCCUGUUCUUUUCAAAAGCAGGGCCUAGUCAAGAUCUUGUAUUGCCAUGAAGAAGGUAUUUGGUACUACCUUCUCUGAAGGAAGACUUCCCUGGUGAUUCAGAAGGUAUGCAUGGACUGUUAACUAUGUUCCAGAUAGUUCGCCCUGAAGAAACAACAGGAACACAAUCCCUGCCCUGCCUACCAGGCUUCUCUGUCCAUGGAAUUUUCUAGGGAUUGCCUGCCUCUCUCUCCUGGGGUCUUCAGCUUCUUUUUGGCUUAACUCUCACAUUUUGAUGGAGCACAUCCCCCAAAGGCUUUAUAUGUCUAUUGAAGAAGGGAUACAUAGAAGU
ensembl:lncRNA